ACUGGUAUAAAUAAACGUAUAGCGCUCGAAAAGAACUGUCAAAAAUUGCAUUUGUUUGUGCAAAUAAAGAGUUAUACCAGUUUGAUAAGGUGUAAUCGUACUCGCUAGGGCCGAAUCUUCUCCGAUAACUUUUUGGUUGCUUUCACCUGCAAAUUUUUCGUCAAGUAUUUUCAAAAUCUUCACUCAGGAAGGGUUUUAUAACUACUACUACAUUUUGUGUCUUAUUUGUGUACAUUUCAAAAAUUUAAAUAUUUACUUUGGCGGUAGAAUUGCACACGUGCCAAACUUGAAAAAGUAAGCAAAUAAAAAAGAAAUUGAAUAUACCGUGUGGCGCGCAUGCAACAACAUUCAACGAUCGCGCCUCGGCAGGCAAUGGCGAACCUCUGAGUGUAGUUCUGCCGUGAAAAAGCUCCUUAUAAAGAAACAUCUUUCGGAGGCGAUAUGGCAUGAAGGUCCCUCCAUAUGUGAAAAAACAUCAAGUCGCGUACUACAAAUUGGAGGGAGGAGUCUCGGCCAAACAUCUAGCAAAGAAUGUACGUGUCAAUUAUAAUUUGAACACAGCGCCAUGAAGAAGUUAAGCGAAGAUUAGUUCUUCAUCAAAUCAUCCAGUUCACUAAAUGAUUUACUAUCCUUUUCCCUUACCAAUUACAAACCUUAUCGCAUAUCAAUUGAUUUCACUAAGUGUGAAACUGAAAUUGUCUAUGUGUUUUAUAAAAAUGUAUGAAACCUGAAACAAACUGCUAAAUAUUAUAUUGCAACUGGGGUUUGAGCUACAAUCAAAGUUGAAGUCGCCAACUCAUCGGUACAUGGCAAAGUUCCUACUGAAAUCUGGAUAAACGGGAAGGCGAUUUGACAUAAACGUGAUAACAUGCCAAUAACAAACGAGAGAAUAAUAAAAAUGUUGAAAACUUUUCACUUAA